AAUGUGUUAGAUACAAUAGAAAUACAGAUGUGUAUUAUACCCGAAAGAGGCUACAGGCAUAGCCUGACACCUAUAGUAGGCAAGACACUUGAUACUAUAUUAUUAGUAGUCAUACUAUUAGGACACUAUGAAAAGAGCAUUUUGAUUAGUCGAUAGCCAUGUUUGUAACCUAUACGUAAUGAUUUCCUUUCAUUUGAGAGGCAUCAUGCAAUAUGAGAUAAUAAUGCAAUACAUGUUUACUUGCUCCCGAAGUUAUAGCCUCUUUAUUGCUUUCUCUAACUAUUGACUCUCAUGAACGGGCCUUAAUUCUCGAAAAGAGUGAUAACGCUCAGAUUACAUUCUUGAAUGGGUGUAAGUGAUCAUUGUCAAUACAAUAAUUCAAUUUAGGUUGGAGUUAAAUCCACAAGGAGUGUAAGCAUAGAAUUCAAAACUCAAGAGUGUUAAUAGUCUACUAAAACGUGACCCGAAAUAUGAAUAAAAGAAACAUAAAUAUAAAAUGGGGGAAUUAGUUUGAAUGUGUUUGUUGUGAUAAUUACUUCAAUUUUAG
rnacentral:lncRNA from 1 species